rnacentral:lncRNA from 1 species
GGGGGGUGUUGUAUAUAUUUUUUUCAAAUUUUCCGACUGAGAAUUAUUUUGACCAUUGCCAAUGUGAUGUCCCGCUCUUUCCUUGCGCCUAGCUACGCCGGAUAACCCUUUGCUAGUAUUAUAUAUUUUAAAACUUUGAUAACAUUUUUCUCUACGCUAGAAACUUAUAUACCCUUUGUAAUAUACUGGUUAUAUCAUAUUUUUGUUACCCAUAUUCGUUUUUUCAUGUACUUUCUGUAUUCAUUUUUGGGGGAUGUUAUUUCUUUAGUUUCUGAGUUAUUAGAAUAUUAUGAAAUUAAUUAUAAAGAUUUCGACUAACAUGGAAAAUAUUACUCAAAUCAUGUUUGAAAUCUUCAACGUGCCUGUAAUACAUGAUGCUAUCCAAGCAGUCCUCUCCUUCUAUGCCUCUGGUCAGUGGUACGAUCAGAGUCAUCGACCAUGUUUUUUAUGCAUUCUUAAUAUUUAUCUACCCACGGUAUGAAUAUGACAAAGAUAUCUUGUUUGCUAAUAAUUUAGUAAUUAUUAAAUACAGUCUAUCUCUUGUAA